GUUAUACUCCCUCCGUCCGGAAUUACUUGUCAUCAAAAUGGAUGUAUCUAGAACUAAAAUACGUCUAGAUACAUCCAUUUCAAUGACAAGUAUUUCCGGACGGAGGGAGUAUAUA
rnacentral:pre_miRNA from 1 species